rnacentral:rRNA from 1 species
GAGAAUUAAUUUUCGGAUUAAGGAAACCGGCGCACGGGUGCGUAACGCGUAUGCAACUUGCCCUUAUCAGGAGGAUAGCCCGGGGAAACUCGGAUUAAUACUCCAUAAGAUUUUGAUUGGCAUCGAUUAAAAUUGAAAGAUUUAUUGGAUAAGGAUAGGCAUGCGUCAGAUUAGUUAGUUGGUAGUGUAACGGACUACCAAGGCGAUGAUCUGUAGGGGUCCUGAGAGGGUGAACCCCCACACUGGUACUGAGACACGGACCAGACUCCUACGGGAGGCAGCAGUGAGGAAUAUUGGACAAUGGGGGGAACUCUGAUCCAGCCAUCCCGCGUGCAGGAAGACGGCCCUAUGGGUUGUAAACUGCUUUGUAUGGGGAUAAAUCUACCUACGUGUAGGUAGUUGAAGGUACCAUACGAAUAAGCAUCGGCUAACUCCGUGCCAGCAGCCGCGGUAAUACGGAGGAUGCAAGCGUUAUCCGGAUUCAUUGGGUUUAAAGGGUCCGUAGGGGGGCUGAUAAGUCAGUGGGGAAAUUUUGUCGCUCAACGAUAAAACUGCCAUUGAUACUGUUAGUCUUGAGUGAUAUUGAAGUAGCUGGAAUGUGUAGUGUAGCGGUGAAAUGCAUAGAUAUUACACAGAACACCGAUUGCGAAGGCAGGUUACUAAGUAUUAACUGACGCUGAAGGACGAAAGCGGGGGAGCGAAAGGAUUAGAUACCCUGGUAGUCCCGCAGUAAACGAUGCUAACUCUUUGGGGAGUGAUC